GGCGCGCCUAUCGAGCCGCCGGACGCCGGAAGAGGACGGCCCAAGAUGGAGGCGUCCAGAGGUGCCGGGAGGAACCGCUCAUGUCGGGGAACGGAGCGGUGUGGGGGCGCGUGCGAAGCCGCCUCCGCGCCUUCCCCGAGCGCCUCGCAGCCUGUGGGGCCGAGGCCGCGGCCUACGGCAGGUGCGUGCAGGCGUCCACGGCCCCCGGCGGCCGCCUGACGAAGGAUCUGUGCGCGCGGGAGUUCGAGGCCCUGCGGAGCUGCUUCGCCGCCGCGACGUGCCCCUCCUGCCGGACUCCACGGCACUUGUGGGGAGCAGCGUGAGAGGCAGAAAGGGCGGCGGGCUCCCGUCCAGCGCGUCCCGGGAGCCCUGUCUCGGGCGAGUGUUCAGCGCUUGGCUGCAGCCUUCUCUGCCAAGAAGAGCCCGAGGGGAGGCCUUUAGGAUGGACGAGCCAGCACGGCACUUCUGUCUGCUGCCCCAGGGAGCAGAGCCCGGCGGCGCCCACGGCCCCAAAGGGCAAACGGCGGAAACACCCGGAGCGCUCAGAGCCAAAAGGACUGGGGCAGGGGGCGAGCUGGUGCUCCUGCGCCGCGCGUGUGAGGGUUCGGGUUAGCGUGAGACCCUGGGAAGCCACAAUAAAGAGCAGGCGGACCGCA